rnacentral:rRNA from 1 species
UACGUAGGGUGCAAGCGUUAUCCGGAAUUAUUGGGCGUAAAGAGCUCGUAGGCGGUUUGUCGCGUCUGCUGUGAAAACUGGAGGCUCAACCUCCAGCCUGCAGUGGGUACGGGCAGACUAGAGGUGCGGUAGGGGAGAUUGGAAUUCCUGGUGUAGCGGUGGAAUGCGCAGAUAUCAGGAGGACACCGAUGGCGAAGGCAGAUCUCUGGGCCGUAACUGACGCUGAGGAGCGAAAGCAUGGGGAGCGAACAGG